GAUGAACGCUGGCGGCGUGCCUAAUACAUGCAAGUCGAGCGAACGGACGAGAAGCUCGCUUCUCUGAUGUUAGCGGCGGACGGGUGAGUACCACGUGGAUAACUUACCUAUAAGACUGGGAUCACUUAGGGAAACCGUAGCUAAUACCGGAUAAUAUUUUGAACCGCAUGGUUCAAAAGUGAAAGACGGUCUUGCUGUCACUUAUAGAUGGAUCCGCGAUGCAUUAGCUAGUUGGUAAGGUAACGGCUUACCAAGGCAACGAUGCAUAGCCGACCUGAGAGGGUGAUCGGCCACACUGGAACUGAGACACGGUCCAGACUCCUACGGGAGGCAGCAGUAGGGAAUCUUCCGCAAUGGGCGAAAGCCUGACGGAGCAACGCCGCGUGAGUGAUGAAGGUCUUCGGAUCGUAAAACUCUGUUAUUAGGGAAGAACAUAUGUGUAAGUAACUGUGCACAUCUUGACGGUGCCUAAUCAGAAAGCCACGGCUAACUACGUG
rnacentral:rRNA from 1 species